UACGAAGGGGGCUAGCGUUGCUCGGAAUCACUGGGCGUAAAGGGUGCGUAGGCGGGUUUUAAGUCAGGGGUGAAAUCCUGGAGCUCAACUCCAGAACUGCCUUUGAUACUGAAGAUCUUGAGUCCGGGAGAGGUGAGUGGAACUGCGAGUGUAGAGGUGAAAUUCGUAGAUAUUCGCAAGAACACCAGUGGCGAAGGCGGCCAACUGGUCCGGUACUGACGCUGAGGUGCGAAAGCGUGGGGAGCAAACAGGGAUU
rnacentral:rRNA from 1 species